GACGAACGCUGGCGGCGUGCUUAACACAUGCAAGUCGAACGAUUCUAGGGGUGCUUGCACUUCUAGUUUAGUGGCGAACGGGUGAGUAACACGUGAGUAACCUGCCCCCUUCUUUGGGAUAAGCCUGGGAAACUGGGUCUAAUACCGAAUAUUCUGCUCUGGUGGCAUCGCCGGAGUUGGAAAGUUUUUCGGUGGGGGAUGGACUCGCGGCCUAUCAGCUAGUAGGUAAGGUAAUGGCUUACCUAGGCGAUGACGGGUAGCCGGCCUGAGAGGGCGACCGGCCACACUGGGACUGAGACACGGCCCAGACUCCUACGGGAGGCAGCAGUGGGGAAUAUUGCACAAUGGGGGAAACCCUGAUGCAGCGACGCCGCGUGCAGGAUGACGGCCUUCGGGUUGUAAACUGCUUUCAGUUGGGAAGAAUUUGACGGUACCAACAGAAGAAGCGCCGGCUAACUACGUGCCAGCAGCCGCGGUAAUACGUAGGGCGCAAGCGUUGUCCGGAUUUAUUGGGCGUAAAGAGCUCGUAGGCGGUCUGUCGCGUCUGAUGUGAAAUCUCCUGGCUCAACUGGGAGCUUGCAUCGGGUACGGGCGGACUUGAAUACUGUAGGGGAGACUGGAAUUCCUGGUGUAGCGGUGGAAUGCGCAGAUAUCAGGAGGAACACCAAUGGCGAAGGCAGGUCUCUGGGCAGUUAUUGACGCUGAGGAGCGAAAGCAUGG
rnacentral:rRNA from 1 species